AUUGAACGCUGGCGGCAGGCCUAACACAUGCAAGUCGAACGAGUGGCGGAAGGGUGAGUAAUGUCUGGGAAACUGCCUGAUGGAGGGGGAUAACUACUGGAAACGGUAGCUAAUACCGCAUCCCAUCGGAUGGGCCAAGAUGGGAUUAGCUAGUUGGUGGGGUAAAGGCUCACCAAGGCGAGGAUCCCUAGCUGGUCUGAGUGGAUGAGCAGCCAAGCUGGAACUGAUACACGGUCCAGACUCCUACGGGAGGCAGCAUGGGUGAAUAUUGCACAAUGGGCGCAAGCCUGAUGCAGCCAUGCCGCGUGGAUGAAGAAGGCCUUCGGGUUGUAAAGUACUUUCAGCUGGGAGGCGUUACCCGCAGAAGAAGCACCGGCUAACUCCGUGCCAGCAGCCGCGGUAAUAC
rnacentral:rRNA from 1 species